GGGGCCGGCAGGGCUAUAGGUAGCGGGUGGCCCGGGCACCUGUACCAAUAGGUACCGUAGGGGCGUGCGUUGGGUCUCGGGGGGGGGGGUGUGUGUCUCUGCCAGCACCCCACCUUGCUGUCAGCGACCUGCCGUGAGGUGAUGAGCACCGUGGAAGGGGGCAGUGGCCUUUCGGGACCCCCCCCCUCGUCUGUUCAGAGUGGCUGAUGCCUAGGAAAUACAGUUACUUUUUUUUAAUGUCAAAUAAAUAAGGUGUUUGCGAAGUAGCCAGGGUAUCGGUGGGAGUGGUUGCCUGCCGCCUUAGGGCUCGUAUCUGCUGUUUUUUCUGUAUAUUAAGGAAUUUGGGGUAGGGUGAAGAAAGCAGCUUUGGCCAGCCUGCGGUGACGGCUGCUGCGAUAGAUGAGAGUGCAGGGGCAGGGCUCAGGAUGUGUUACCUGUGGGCCAUAUGGAUCCUUCCUGCACCCAUAAGAGGCAGCCUGAGUGCACCGGCAAGCUGAUGUGUGAAACUUAGGUCCAUCGGGAGCUGGAAGAGCGUAGCAGAAGUUAUCCAGGUGUCCUUAUCUGGCCUUUCUAGUCCGCAAAAUGUAUGCGAUCAAUUUCUGCAUGUGUUAGGUUUCGUUUUUUAAAUCAGAUUAUGGCUGUGAAAAAAAGCAUGCUGUGCUAGGUUUUAGGUGAACCAGCAAAUACCAUCCUUGAGAGCACGAAGCUGGAAGUGCCAGCUCCACUGCUGCAGCUUGGAGUCUGUGGGGAGAAGAAAAGAUCACGGGCAGCAGCUAGAGGAGGUGCAGCUGAAAAGCUUAAAAGAUCCUUGUUUUUCCAAGAACUUAUUUUAUUUGUAAAGUUGCAGUCUCAGAGCUGAACUUAAAAUAGAGGGGGAGAGAGGAGAAGUAUCCUAUUUUUAUUCCCAAGUUAUAAUGGAUUUUCCCUCUAUAUCAAUUUGGACAGAGAUCAAAGGUAUAAUAGGGCCCUGCUGCACUAAUUUUUGGUUGCUGUUGCAUUUUGCAUUACCUCAGAGUGGAAAAUACGUGUGUGGCAAUUUAUUAAUACCUCUGCUAUUUCUGCCUGUUGUUUACCUGGAUGAUUUUUUUUGUCCAGCUACCCUGAAGGUACAGAUGCAGUAAGCGUUUGUGGAAAAUUGCAUGCGUGGUUUGGAAACGAGCACUCUCAUGUGCAAUAACCAGCCUUGAGAAUUAAUGCUGAGCCGAGGUGAUCAGUGGUGGGGUGGCAGUUACUGCUUUUGCGAACUGUUGUUUAGGGCUACUGUGCUUUCUAUUGGAGGUUUCCUUUUGUAACCCUAAGCACUGGCAGCACAAGCUUUCUGCAUGAAGGUUUCUGUUGAAUAUGAGUUCUGCUUUGGGCAACAAGACAAAUGGGUUGUGCGGAGUAUGUUCAGCCCGUGAGAUGUGAGUCUGUGCGAGCCGGUUGCUGGCUGGAAAUUAAACCCUCCUUGAGGUGUAAGUCCCUGGGCAGAUUUUUAGAAACAGUCCUAUAACCUCAGUCGCUUACCAGCUGUUGAUUGUGCAGAACUUUUUGAACUGGAGUGCAUUAUCUCAUCUGCCUGUGGCUUAAGAGUUGGGAAACCCAAGAGGGUGUCUAGCUGAUGUAGUGGGGCUUGUGGGCCAAAUUCGGAGCGAGCAGGAAAGGUGCAGGAUUUCAGGAAGGGAAGCGUGUCAGGGAUUUUGUGAAAGUGGUGGGUUGUCUUUGAGAGAGUUUUGGCUACAAAGGUUCUCUUCAAACUCAGUGUUCUCACCUAGGGGAAGGAGAAUUUAGUGCUGCUUUGUGUGGCUUUUCUUCAUAGUAUUUUUCUGCUGAAGGUUUGAUGACCAAGUGUCUGAGAAGUUUGGGGUCACUGCUCGUCUCUGCUUCGAGGAGUUGUUGACAUCGCUGCUCUGGAAAAUUUAACAGAACUCUUGGGUGAAGCUUAUUUUGUUGUGAAUUUCUUACCUAUGUAAAAAGCUGAAGAAAAGAUUUUUAACACCCGCCCAAGUAUAUUUUGGUCUGUAUACUUUUUUUUUUUUCCCCCAAAAAGGUUGUGGAGGACAAUGCUUUUACUGAGACUGUACUUUGCUCUUUCUCAGUUGUUCAUUUUUACCCACAGUUCGCCCAGGGAAGCUCUCAUGAUGUUUGAGAUAAGCCUUAUAAAAAUGGCUGGUUAUAUUUGGGCUCAUUCCUGUGUUAUGAGACUGCCACUUGGGUUCUUGUUUAGGUGUGGGGUGCUUCUGGAAAUGAGAGAGAUUUUGCAUGUAUCAAAGUUCUUUGUUUUGAGGUUGGGUUUUUUUUGUGUGGUCAGAGCCCAAGUUACUGAAGAGAGACAACCCUGUUGCCCUGCGGGGCAGGGAGCAUCCCUUACACGCAGCAGUGCGGGGCCUCCAUGUGCCCGUAAAUACUGCACGGGACAGCUCGAUUCCCCAGGGCUGCUCCGUGCAGAGCUGAGGGCACCCGUUUACGGAGGGACGGGGAGAUGCCAUUUCGUGGAUGUGUGAAGACGUGGGGUGGGUUAUGGCAGCUGGAGGAGUCACCCGGUCUUGCUUGUUCACACCAGUGCUAUUUUAUGUGCGCUGGUGAAAGCUGCGGGUAUGUCUAUGCUAGCCCGUCCUGGGAUAAUCAAGUUGUUGGAGUGUGGGACCACCGAGGCAGGAGUUGAUGCAGAUGCUGCAGCCAGCGAUAACGUGAAGAUGCUGCGAGAGAGGGGAACGAACGGUGGCAGUGUGUGAGGUGUCCCCAGGUACGCAUCUCUCCCUAGGAAGCACUGUCGGGGGGCAUACGGCACCCAAAGGGCCCCAGCAC